rnacentral:rRNA from 1 species
CCUACGUGUGGCAGCAGUGAGGAAUAUUGGUCAAUGGGCGCGAGCCUGAACCAGCCAAGUAGCGUGAAGGAUGACUGCCCUACGGGUUGUAAACUUCUUUUAUAAAGGAAUAAAGUGAGGCACGUGUGCCUUUUGUAUGUACUUUAUGAAUAAGGAUCGGCUAACUCCGUGCCAGCAGCCGCGGUAAUACGGAGGAUUCGAGCGUUAUCCGGAUUUAUUGGUUUUAAAGGGAGCGUAGAUGGGUUGUUAAGUCAGUUGUGAAAGUUUGCGGCUCAACCGUAAAAUUGCAAUUGAUACUGGCAGUCUAGAGUGCAGGUGAGGUAGGCGGAAUUCGUGGUGUAGCGGUGAAAUGCUUAGAUAUCACGAAGAACUCCGAUUGCGAAGGCAGCUUACUGGCCUGCCACUGACAUUGAUGCUCGAAAGUGUGGGUAUCAAACAGGAUUAGAUACCCGAGUAGUC